rnacentral:rRNA from 1 species
UACGUAGGGUGCAAGCGUUAAUCGGAAUUACUGGGCGUAAAGCGUGCGCAGGCGGUUGUGCAAGACAGAUGUGAAAUCCCCGGGCUCAACCUGGGAAUUGCAUUUGUGACUGCACGGCUAGAGUGCGGCAGAGGAGACUGGAAUUCCUGGUGUAGCAGUGAAAUGCGUAGAUAUCAGGAGGAACACCGAUGGCGAAGGCAGGUCUCUGGGCUGACACUGACGCUCAUGCAUGAAAGCGUGGGGAGCAAACAGG